CAUUAUUUAAAUGAAUACUUCUGAGCCCACUUUAUCGUUAGCUUUUUUUUUUUAAGUGAAAAGUUUGUUUUUGGAUGAACUUGAAAUAUGUGAGCGACUAUUUUUAGAAUUGAUAUUUAAAUCAUUUGUAGGGACUUCUGUGGUGGGGACUGUUUUCUUUGUGUGGGAGACGGUUUUCAAAGGCAGUUGAAACAUCUGGCAGAGUCUCAAAGUAGUGUUCUAAACAUAACAUUUAGAGGUAAAGGUGAAGUAAUUUUCCAAUCCUUACCUGGUCCUUCUUCUAAGAAGAGCGCUACCAAAACCAGAGAAGAAGAAGAGUAUCAACUUUGAUUCUAGGGAUUCUUUUGUCUCCUUCUAUGUUGAUUUGUGAGUGGCUGUGCCAAUUUACUUGUCUAAAGAAUUCUUUUUUCUUGAGAAAGUAACUCUUGGCGCGAAAUGUCUAGUUUUUAUAAUUAAGGAUAAUCUACGAAUGUUUUCCUUCUCUGGGAUACUGUACCAAAGUUGUUAUUAUUUUAGUUUUGUCUUGCUAUGUUUUUAUUACUUCUUUUUAAUAACUAUAUAAGAAGCAGACUAGCGUCGAUAAUUAAGAAUACAACUGGCUGUCUGACAUGUUCCUUUUUCUUGGUGCUUCUGUUGCCUCCUUUGUCCAGCGGGGUUAACAGGGCCUAAUUCGUGGGUUGUUGGAAGCUUAAGUGAUAUAUGUGUCAGGUCUUCAUGCUGAUAUGUACAUUGUAAAAUGACAUCUCUGAAGUGCUGACAUCAAGAAGCCAUAAAUGUAAACGUGUAGCUGUCUAAUAAAAGAGCUUCGUGAUACAUGUAGUAAAACUUGAUAGAAUUAAUGGAUCAGAAUCACAAAUCCACACUUAUAGUGGAGAGUUCAGUUAGGCCAAAAAAAAAAAAAAAAAAAAAAAAAACACAGUAAAGACACAGAAGAUCUAAGUUACACUAUUAACUACUGACUUGAUAUUUGUAGACUACUGAAUCUAAUAGCGGUGUGAUGCACCAUGUUCUCAAGUGCUCAUGGUAACCUCACCAGAAAGACUAUUUGCAGGGCACAAGUCUCAGUAAAUUUGGAAAGAUUGAAAUCGACAGAAUAUAUUCUCUGCCAACAACAGAAUGAAAUUAGAAAUCAAUACUGAUAAAACAUCUAUUAAAAUAUGGAGAUUAAACAACACAGUUCUUUGACCGAUGGGUUAUUUAGAAGAAAACCCUGAGAGAAGUUAGGAUAUAAUUCAAAUUAAAUGAUAAUGAAAUUACAGCAUAUCUGUUAUGUGGGAUGCAGCUGAAACAGUGCUUAAAGGGAAAUUUCUAGCUUUAAAUAACUACUAGAAAAGUUACCUAAGACUUUAUCUAAGAAAUAUAAAAAAAGGUCAAAGAACAUGGAGAGUAAGUAGAAGGGAAAGAUAAUAAAAAUAAGAAAUUGGUGACUAGAAAAGGGACAAUUAAUUAUCAACACCAAAAGCUGGUUCUGUAGAAAGAUCAAAAGUUGGCAACCCCCUCUUUGACUAAUGAC